GUCUACAGAAAUAAUUACCCACAAGCAACAAUUUAUUGCUAGGAGAAGGUGACACCACAUGAAGAAAAGCAUCUUCUGUGCCCAGGGCACAGCAACAGGACUAGAAUCACUCUGAUGGUGCAGGAGGGCUGCUCCUCAGAACCCCUGGUGAGGGCAACAUGGGAUGCCCAGAGAAGUCUUCAGGGCAGCAGGACAACAGAAAGCAUACUGUCCAACACUCCUGCUUCUAGAGGAGAAAUGAAUGUGGACAACAAGAAUCUAGAAAACAACAUGGCAAGAGGUGACAACACCACCCUUCCAAGGAGCCCAGCAGGAUCGUGGCCUUGGUUACAGAGUGGUCAGUGUGGCAGAUGCACUCAUCCCUCAGCCUAAGGAAACCAUGUUUGCCACACUGGUGAGGGACAUCCGAAAGAGGGGGAUAAUCGCCAGCAUGGUCAGGUCCGCAUGACCCUGUGCAGGAUCUCUUGCAUCUGGAUGCUGUGCAACAUCCUGAGGUACUGGUGCCUUUCCAUGAUGUGCCCAUUGGAGCCGGCGAAGCAGUUGCUGAUGGCAUCCACGUUGCUUAGGAGCCCAUGCUGAAAACCUGGAUCCACAGCAUGAAGCCUACCAGGUGCCCUUGGUGCAGGGACCAGGGGCCCAUUUAGGCAGGGGAGAGGGAGGAUGGGCAGUGCUGAGGCCAGGGGAUAUGGGAGGAGGAGGCAGCUGCAAAGGAGGGUCUCCAGCCAUGGGGAGGGAAUGGGGACUGCCAGGGGGCUCACCUGUCACUCUGAGACUUGGGCUGUGCAGCUGCCACUGAGGUCCCCUCCAUGAAAGAGUACAGCCAAAUCCUGCCGAGUGUCACAUCAGCUUCCAUUACCAUCUGGGGCAGCUCUACCUGUGAGGGAAUGGAGCUCAGCUGUUAACUCCCCACAGGAGCCAGGUCACCGGAUCAGCUGUGGGCUCCUGCAUGGAGGCUGCAUCUUAAAGCUGCUGCCGCUGGAAUAAGAGCCAUUUGGGCACAUCUCCAGACAGUUCCAGUCUCUGCAGGGUCAUCUAUUUAACACAGUGAUGACCAAGGCUUCGCUCCCACCUAGGUCCCACUCCUGCCUCUGCCCUACAGUGCCUGCAGCCCCCAGGAGCAGCAGCAGGAUCGGUCCCUGCCACAGGGCUGCCCUGACAGCAGCUGGCCCACAGCACAGCUCACACGAGGGAUCCAGCCGCAUCUCAGUUACCUUCCUAGGAUGCUGGGCUUCCCAGGCUUCUGAUAGAUCCGGGCACACUGGGAAGGUGACUGAGAUGCCGGAGAGGGGACCCUCUUCAGACAGCUUGCCUAGAGACACUGGGCAUCCUGGUGCCUACCAGGGGCACCUUCCUCUCCAGCUCCGAGCUCCCACCACAUGCAAGAUGGGAUUUGCACUCUGCCUCUUGCUCUUUCUUUGUUUGUGUUUAAAAUUAACAGGUAUGUUCACCAACGCCUCUGACGGAAAUAUCUUCCAGUCCUUCCUGUACUCA